UACGUAGGGUGCAAGCGUUGUCCGGAAUUAUUGGGCGUAAAGAGCUCGUAGGCGGUUUGUCGCGUCUGCCGUGAAAGUCCGGGGCUCAACUCCGGAUCUGCGGUGGGUACGGGCAGACUAGAGUGAUGUAGGGGAGACUGGAAUUCCUGGUGUAGCGGUGAAAUGCGCAGAUAUCAGGAGGAACACCGAUGGCGAAGGCAGGUCUCUGGGCAUUAACUGACGCUGAGGAGCGAAAGCAUGGGGAGCGGACAGG
rnacentral:rRNA from 1 species